AGCAGCCAUUUCUUUAGUUGCAGUAGAGAAGAAUGUGAUUUCUAACCUUAACAGACCUUCCUCUACCGCAGACAAUUACUCAGAAAUGCACAGCACAGCAGAUUCAGCUGGACCUGUAAUAGUAAUAAGGCGAUCCUCUGAAAAAAGCUCAGCUUCUGGUGGCUCAAGGUCUGACUGCCUGCAAACACACCCAGGUGAGCUUAGAGAACCAGACAGGGCUGCAAGGAAAUGACCCAGCAGGAAAGAAUCCAGGAGGCAUCCACAAGCUGACAAGCGGGCAGGCCAGCAGGGAGGAAGCUGCGUCUGAUGUUGGAUACUGAAAUGACAGCCUGAAGGAAAAAAGCCCCCAGAAGCAGUCGCCGAUGGCAGCAAAGAAGAUGACCAGCUUUAGCACUUCCACUGGCUUUCUGCCAAAGGGUUCAACUUCAGUCCAAUGGAGAAUAAACCCAGUGGGCGCUUCAGACCGCUCCUUGGGCUCGGUAGGACAGGCCCACUCGCACAUGGGCAGGCAGGGGCUGAUCGCGCAGUGCAGGCCGACAGCAGCCAAGCUGGGAGGCAGCGGCAGCACACGGGUCAGCCGACUGGUCCCCCGGUCACCUUUUUACACCUUUUGACGUCUUUAGCUAUGUGACGUCUUUAGCUGUCUCUAGGUCAAAUGCCCCAAAGAGUGUAUUUGUUUUCUUAUUUCCACGUCACGGGCCUCGGCUCACCAUCUUUCUAACAGCGUUUUUUCCGAGCACUCCCUGUAGCACCAAUCCCCAAACCACGGGGUCCGGAAAUUGGCGGCAUUUGGCAAACAGCACCGGGAACCACAGUUAAGAGAAAAUGCCAAAUUUGUUUCUUUUGCAUGGCUUGCAAUAAAGUCUGAGAGUUCUCGGUGCUCUUGUGGUGAAAACCACUGCUUUUGGCAUUGUUUAAUACACAUUAAUACAAUCACAGGAAGUGAUCGGUUGCCUGCACACAAACUUUGUGGUUAAUCUUUGAACAUUAGCCAUAGCGCUAUCUUAAAGCCUGUCUCACUACAAUACAGACUUCUUCCCCUUACAUGCUUUACUGCAAUUAUAUUGCCUACACUGACUAUUAACUAAAUUACUACUGGACUCACCAGUCCAGCUGGUGAAGGAUAAGUCCUCACAUGUAAGCCAAAUAUUGUCCAAUUUAUUCUUUCCCUUAAUGAGAAUUUCAAAUCCACAAGCAAGGAGUUCGAACAGCUAAAUGGACGCUGGAAACUUGAGUAUUAGCAUCAAACAUAUCCAACUUACUACAUUGUUCUCCUAAAGCAUGUCUUGGACCAGUACUCUAAGAAAAAGGCAUUUUACAAAGCAGAAAUAGACUGAGGCUCAACAGCAGUGCAAAGAACCCAAGGCUGAAAUACGAGGGGUUUUUUUACACAUGUAAGAUCAGAUACACAGUCAAAAUUUAAGUGGAAAAGCUGGACUUGUGAGCAUCAAAUUCACAGUACAAAAUGUUGUACUAACUGCUUGUCACUGAUACACUAUCCUUCUGUUCUUUGUUAAAUUAAUCUAAGUUAAUUUAGAAAGUACAUGAAAUAAAAGACUGGUCAAGUGGGCAUGACUUACCUCAAAAAGAUUUCUAACAAUUCAUAUGAUUAUUACAAUUAUUGCUUCUUUUACUGUAGGUCUGUUGAAAAGCCUGCUGUAAAAACUAGGUAACAAAACGCAUACAGCACUGACUGAUAAUAGAUAUUGCCCACAUCAGUUUAUUUGUAGCUUAACAUUUGGAUGAUGUGGUAAAUGUGGGGUUGGACUAAAU